rnacentral:lncRNA from 1 species
UUUGGUUUGAGUUGAGGCCAUUUUUGCUAAGAAGUCUGCUACUAGAUUUUCUUCUCUAUAACAGUGUCGAACUUGCAUUUGGACUUUGUUUUUGAUGUUGUUGAUAGAGUCUAUCAUCGGUUUGAGCUUCAUAUUGGUUACCCCACUGUUGUUGAGCAUGUUAACUAAGUCCAUAGAGUCGAGUUCUAGAGUAAAAUUGGUAUGCCCGAAUUGAUAGCACCAUUUAAGUUUAAGGUCGCAAACAUUUCAUUUAAGUUUACAGUGCAAUCUAU